GAUCUGGCUCAGGAUGAACGCUGGCGGCGUGCCUAACACAUGCAAGUCGAGCGAAGCACUUUGCUUAGAUUCUUCGGAUGAAGAGGAUUGUGACUGAGCGGCGGACGGGUGAGUAACGCGUGGGUAACCUGCCUCAUACAGGGGGAUAACAGUUAGAAAUGACUGCUAAUACCGCAUAAGACCACAGCACCGCAUGGUGCGGGGGUAAAAACUCCGGUGGUAUGAGAUGGACCCG
rnacentral:rRNA from 1 species